ACGUGAGGGACACGUGAGGGGCAGGUUGGGACAGGGCUGGGGCAGGUGAGGGACACGUGGGGCAGGUUUGGGGCAGGUUUGGGAUGGGUCCCUGUGGGUUUGGGACGCAUGGGCAGGUUUGGGACAGGUUUGGGACAGAUUUGGGGCAGGUUUGGGACAGAUUUGGGGCAGGUUUGGGACGGAUCCCUGCGGGUUUGGGAUACCUGGGCAGGUUUGGGGCAGGUUUGGGACAGGUCCCUGCGGGUUUGGGAUACCUGGGCGGGUUUGGGGCAGGUUGGGGCAGGUUUGGGACACCUGGGCAGGUUUGGGGCAGGUUUGGGAUACCUGGGCAGGUUUGGGGCAGGUUUGGGACAGGUCCCUGCGGGUUUGGGACACGUGGGGCAGGUUUGGGGCAGGUUUGGG